ensembl:lncRNA
AUGAAGAUGAUUUCGCCUUGUUUUCAUAGGCAGAGCGUGUGUAGCAAGGCUGGGGAAGGCUUAUCCGUUCCAACACAGCAAAGAUACUGGCAGCAACAACACUGUAGCAAGAAUAAAAGUUAUGUCUUCUUUCUUUGUGUAUACAUUUGGGCGGUGAAACUCUGCCCCCAGAGGCUGACGUAGAUUUGUGGGGGCGUGUACGCAUUAGUUCCCGGGCACCAACACAGGAUCCACACUUAAUUUUAAGUGGUCAGUUUUUGUGUAUUUUCAGUAUAAGUACAGUUAGUUCCUGGGUAUCAACACAGGUUCCACACUUUAUUUUAGGUGGUCGGUUUUUGUGUAUUUUCAGUGUAAGUAUGCAUUAGUUCCCAGGUAUCAACACAGGUUCCACACUUUAUUUUAAGUGGUCGGUUUUUGUGUAUUUUCAGUGUAAGUACACAUUAGUUCCCGGACACCAACACAGGUUCCACACUUUAUUUUAAGUGGUCAGUUUUUGUGUAUUUUCAGUAUAAGUACGCAUUAGUUCCCAGGUAUCAACACAGGUUCCACACUUUAUUUUAAGUGGUCGGUUUUUGUGUAUUUUCAGUGUAAGUACAAUUAGUUCCCGGGUAUCGACACAGGUUCCACACUUUAUUUUAAGUGGUCAGUUUUUGUGUAUUUUCAGUGUAAGUACGCAUUAGUUCCCGGGUAUCAACACAGGUUCCACACUUUAUUUUAAGUGGUCAGUUAAUCUCAGCAUUUAGUAAUACAUUUUUAAGAUCAAAUGUUGCGUCUGACAACCUUGGUUAAUGGUCUGUGAAUUAACAUGAACAAGAACAUUUUAACUAACAUCAACUGAGAUUAAUACAUGCUGUACAAAUAGGGGUGUAACAGUAUGUCUAUUCGUACCGAACGGGAUAUGGGCAAAUUCCAAAUGGAAGUGAUCAUCCCUAUGCCCUGCUCCCUUGGAAGGGCAGAGCCCUUGAAGUGGGGACUUUGGAGUGAGCAAAGCAAGUGUGUGCUAUUAUGAAGUCGUUUGGAUUCCACUUGGCAAACACCUUGACUAUUAAAUGGUUUAAAUAAUAAGUAUCUACACACAAGUAGGCAUGAACAAUAAUGCUUUACAUGUGUCAAAACAUAACUGCCCCCCAAAAAAUUAACAGAAACUGUACCGUAGUUACAAUUGUAGUUACAAUAUUGCAAUUAUGGUGUGUACUUACAAAAGUGUACUUACAAAUGUAAGUACACCACAGUAACUACAGAUAAAUCAAUCAGGUACUUAAAAUGUAAGUACAAUGUAAAUACAGAUAGUUACAGCAUAAGUACAUUGUAUCAAAUGCUUAAUUUGCCAUGUAAGUACAUAGUAGUUAAGGCCACUUAAUAUAAAGUGGGACCCAAGUUAUAUAUGAUGAAGAACUUUCAGGGGCGCCAUGGAGAGGGAUGAACACGCAUCUGGUGAGGCUUUAUGAGUGCGUUUGUCUUUGAAUCUUUAUUAUGAAAAGUGAAAGCACAGUUAACAAUCUGAUAAACUGUUUAUUGACAGAAAGUACAGUACAUGAUGCAUUUCAGUAAAUAUACAGUAAAUAGACAUGGAUUAUUACACUGCUGUGACGAUGAACAGGUAUAUGUUUGUUUUAUGUAAGGUUACAGAUAGCAACUGUUGAUGUGGUUCAAAGUGUGGAAGGAAGAAGACAGGGUAGGCGUGACUGGGACUCAAGUGUGGCUCGAGUCAGUCUUUCCCCCUGACUUCCCUAUUCCUGGUGGCUUUUAUCCAGUCUCUCCACACCAAUUACUGAAAUGAGACACAGGUGUUUAUCAUUUGCACUUGGCCUCACCGCUCGUCUCCUGCCUCUCUCUCCCACUGCACCCCUCACUGAACCACGCCCACCUUGACACAUACCCCCACCACCCGACCCCCAUUUCUGGAGAGGAAGUCAGCUACAGAUAUCUGCACCAGUCGUUCCUCACCCUCAAUCUCCUGGGACAGGACCGCUCCAAGCCCCCUGUCCGAUGCGUCAGUCUGCAACAAAAAGGGAGAGAAAAGUCAGGGGAGUGAAGGAGCGGCCCGCCACACAGAGCAGCCUUUAUCUGGGUGAAAGCCUGCUGGUACUGCUCUGUCCACUGGACCAGAUCUUGUGCUUCCUUUUUAGUGAGGUCAGUUAACGGAUUGGUGAGGACUGAAUAAUUAGGUACAAACCUUCUAUAAUAUCCCGCCAGCCGCAGGAACCUGUCCAUGAACCAAGUUGAAGCCCAGAUACCUGACUUCCACAUGCCCAACCACACACUUUUUUGGGUUGGCCGUUAGUCUGGUCCCCCUCAGCGACCUCAGAACAGCCCGCAGAUGCUGCAUAUGACGCUGCCAGUCGUUACUACAGAUGUUAAUGUCAUCUAAAUAUGCAGCGGCAUACGCAGCAUGUGGUCAGAGUAUCUGGUCCAUGAGCCACUGAAUGGUGGUCGGAGCCCUGAACAACCAGAAAUUAAGCGUAAGGAAUUGGUGUAAUCCAAAUGGCAUUGUGAAAGCUGUCUUUUUUUCGAUAUAGGUGAUAAGGGGCUCUGCCAAUAUCCUUUUGUUAAAAAAACGUGUUGAGUAAAAUCGAGCUGAACCCAGCCAAUCAAGCAAUUCGUCAACCCGGAGCAUUGGAUAUGCUUCGAAUUUCGUCACAGCUUUCACCUUGCAAUAAUCCACACAGAACUGGACCGAGCCAUCCGUUUUGGGCACUAAAACUAUCAGGCUCACCCAAUCACUGUUGGAUUUCUCUAUUACUCCCAUAUCUAGCAUAACUUCUAACUCAGUCUGAACU